rnacentral:rRNA from 1 species
GGGGUACUGCGGAGGAUCAUUACUGAUUUGAAGAGGUUGUUGCUGGCCUUCACCGGCAUGUGCACGCCUUGAUCUCAUCCAUCUUACACCUGUGCACCUUUGCGUGGGUCUGUUGGCUUUGCGGCCUUCAGACUUGCGUCUUUUCAUAAACUCUUAUGUAUGUAACAGAAUGUCUAAUGCUAUAAAACGCAUCUUAUACAACUUUCAACAACGGAUCUCUUGGCUCUCGCAUCGAUGAAGAACGCAGCGAAAUGCGAUAAGUAAUGUGAAUUGCAGAAUUCAGUGAAUCAUCGAAUCUUUGAACGCACCUUGCGCCCCUUGGUAUUCCGAGGGGCACGCCUGUUUGAGUGUCGUGAAAUUCUCAACUCGAUCUUUUUGUUUACAAAAAGGUUGAGCUUGGACUUGGAGGCUUGCCGGCUCUGCAAAGACUCGGCUCCUCUUGAAUGCAUGAGUGGGAACCUUUGUAGGGUGACCUUUGGUGUGAUAAUUGUCUACGCCGUUGGUCUUGCCUUGCGAACUUAUGGGUACCUGCUUCCAACCGUCUUUUCGAAGACAAUUUCUAUGAAACUUGACCUCAAAUCAGGCGGGACUACCCGCUGAACUUAAGCAUAUCAAAAAGGGGGGAAAAAA